CCUACGGGAGGCAGCAGUGAGGAAUAUUGGUCAAUGGGCGUAAUCCUGAACCAGCCAAGCCGCGUGAGGGAUGACGGCUCUAUGGAUCGUAAACCUCUUUUGUCGGGGAAUAAAAUCCGGGACGUGUCCCGGUCUGCGUGUACCUUAAGAAUAAGGAUCGGCUAACUCCGUGCCAGCAGCCGCGGUAAUACGGAGGAUGCGGGCGUUAUCCGGAUUUAUUGGGUUAAAAGGGUGCGUAGGCGGGCUGUUAAGUCAGCGGGAAAAUUGCGGGGCUAAACCCAGUAGUGCCGUUGAAACUGGGAGGCUUGAGUAGGCGAGAGGUAGGCGGAAUGCGGGGUGUAGCGGUGAAAUGCAUAGAUA
rnacentral:rRNA from 1 species